rnacentral:RNase_P_RNA from 1 species
CGGGAGGAGCGGAUGGCCGCUUCCCCUCAAAGCCUCGAGAGAGGAAGAAAGGGGAAGAGGAAAGUCCGAGCUCCAGAAGGCAGGGUGGUCCGUAACACGGACUGUCCCGAUAACGAGGUGCGAUAGCCCUGAUGGGCGUCGCCCCGUUUGACGGGAUAAGGAAAGUGCCACAGAAAACAUACCGUCCCGCAGUCCGCGGGAUAAGGGUGAAAAGGCGAGGUAAGAGCUCACCAGUACUCCGAGCGAUCGGAAUAGCUUGGCAAACCCCACCCGGAGCAAGACCAAAUAGGUCCCGCUUCCCGCCUCGAGCGGGAGGAGAAUCGCCUGUUCAACUUUCUCCCUUCGGGAGGAAGGCGGGACGGGUCAGGUCGCUUGAGACCCUGAGCAAUCAGGGCCCUCAGAUAAAUGGCCAUCGUCCCAAACCCAGGGAUACAGAACUCGGCUUAUAGCUCGCUUCCGGAUU